CGGAAGGUAGCCUCGUGGUUAUGGCGCCGCACUUCUAAAUUUCUUAUAAACGCUGAGGUUGGCGGGUUCGAGUCCCGCCAGGAGUUUGA